rnacentral:rRNA from 1 species
AGUAAUGUCUGGGAAACUGCCUGAUGAGGGGGAGUAACUACUGGAAACGGUAGCUAAUACCGCAUAACGUCGCAAGACCAAAGAGGGGGACCUUCGGGCCUCAUGCCAUCAGAUGUGCCCAGAUGGGAUUAGCUAGUAGGUGGGGUAACGGCUCACCUAGGCGACGAUCCCUAGCUGGUCUGAGAGGAUGACCAGCCACACUGGAACUGAGACACGGUCCAG